CGCGGGAUGGAGCAGCUAGGUAGCUCGUCGGGCUCAUAACCCGAAGGUCGUUGGUUCAAAUCCAGCUCCCGCAACCA
rnacentral:tRNA from 2 species